rnacentral:lncRNA from 1 species
GCGGAUCACCAGAGAUCAGGAGUUCGAGACCAGCCUGGCCAACAUGGUGAAACUCUGUCUCCACUAAAAAUACAAAAAUUAGCCGGGCAUGGUGGUGCGCGCCUGUAAUCCAGCUACUGAGGGGGCUGAGGCAUGAGAAUCGCUUGAACCUGGGAGGUGGAGUUUGCAGUGACCGGAGAUCAUGCCACUGCACUCCAGCCUGGAUGACAGAGCAAGACUCCGUCUCAAAAACAACAAAAACAACAACCACAGCAACAACCACAGUUCUUAGAAAAGCAUUUUAAGGUAAAGGUAACCUUCUGAUUUCAAUUGCCCGUUUGGAUCAACCAUCAGACCCAGUCAUGGAGAGGACGCAGAAAAUGGAAUCUAGGAAAGAAUGAGCCAGGAUCUUGUGGACCGAGCUGAAGCGUGAAUCUUCCUCGCCAGAAACACCCCAGCAACCAAUUACCCUGGACGUGACGCCGAGGCCCACCUAGUGGUCAGCCAUCUGCCUAGGCAGACAAUAAAGCUCAAUUUUUC